GGCAGCAGGCGCGCAAAUUACCCACUCCCGGCACGGGGAGGUAGUGACGAAAAAUAACGAUACGGGACUCAUCCGAGGCCCCGUAAUCGGAAUGAGUACACUCUAAACCCUUUAACGAGGAUCAAUUGGAGGGCAAGUCUGGUGCCAGCAGCCGCGGUAAUUCCAGCUCCAAUAGCGUAUAUUAAAGUUGUUGCGGUUAAAAAGCUCGUAGUCGAAUUUGUGUUUCGCGCCGCCGGUUCAUCGCUCGCGGUGUUCAACUGGCGUGUCGCGGAACGUCCUGCCGGUGGGACCGGGCGUUCGCGUCCGGCCCCAACUUUAAAUCCUGCCGCGGUGCUCUUCAUUGAGUGUCGAGGUAGGCCGGCACGUUUACUUUGAACAAAUUAGAGUGCUCAAAGCAGGCUAAAAUUUCGCCUGAAUAUUCUGUGCAUGGAAUAAUGGAAUAGGACCUCGGUUCUAUUUUGUUGGUUUUCGGAACCCCGAGGUAAUGAUUAAUAGGAACGGAUGGGGGCAUUCGUAUUGCGACGUUAGAGGUGAAAUUCUUGGAUCGUCGCAAGACGGACAGAAGCGAAAGCAUUUGCCAAAAACGUUUUCAUUGAUCAAGAACGAAAGUUAGAGGUUCGAAGGCGAUCAGAUACCGCCCUAGUUCUAACCAUAAACGAUGCCAGCUAGCGAUCCGCCGACGUUCCUCCGAUGACUCGGCGGGCAGCUUCCGGGAAACCAAAGCUUUUGGGUUCCGGGGGAAGUAUGGUUGCAAAGCUGAAACUUAAAGGAAUUGACGGAAGGGCACCACCAGGAGUGGAGCCUGCGGCUUAAUUUGACUCAACACGGGAAACCUCACCAGGCCCGGACACCGGAAGGAUUGACAGAUUGAGAGCUCUUUCUUGAUUCGGUGGGUGGUGGUGCAUGGCCGUUCUUAGUUGGUGGAGCGAUUUGUCUGGUUAAUUCCGAUAACGAACGAGACUCUAGCCUGCUAACUAGGCGUAUUUUCGACAUCCGAAAGGCCAGGCUGCCGUGGCGCUCGCGUCGCGGUUGUCCGCGGUUUUUGCUGUCGGCGUACAACACAUUCUUCUUAGAGGGACAGGCGGCUUCUAGCCGCACGAGAUUGAGCAAUAACAGGUCUGUGAUGCCCUUAGAUGUUCUGGGCCGCACGCGCGCUACACUGAAGGAAUCAGCGUGUCUUCCCUGUCCGAGAGGACCGGGUAACCCGCUGAACCUCCUUCGUGCUAGGGAUUGGGGCUUGCAAUUGUUCCCCAUGAACGAGGAAUUCCCAGUAAGCGCGAGUCAUAAGCUCGCGUUGAUUACGUCCCUGCCCUUUGUACACACCGCCCGUCGCUACUACCGAUUGAAUGAUUUAGUGAGGUCUUCGGAUCGGUACGCGGCAGCGUUCGCGCGUUGCCGAUGUUGCUGAAAAGAUGACCAAA
rnacentral:rRNA from 1 species